rnacentral:lncRNA from 10 species
GUAGUAGUCGGCGUCGUAGUCGUCUUCGUCCUUGUCGUCUUCCUCCUCCUCUCCGCUGUCCUCGGAGCCCUCCGGGGAGUGCGGAGGGGCGUGAGCGAGCCCAUGGCUCUGGGGGGCGGCCUCCUGCCCGCCGCGCGGCCGAGGCCCGAGCGCCCCCAACUGCUCCGGGUGCCCUCCGGGGACCCGCGCCCCGGGACCCCACGCCUCAGGUGACGGCGAGGGCUGCUGUAGGCUCCGCCCGUGUCCCCCGGCGUGCUCACGUGGGAGGGUGUCUGCGGCACCCCAGGCGUCUCCCGCGGCUGCCGAAGAGGCCGCCACCGCAGCUGCGGCUGCCGCCCGGAGCCCUAGCCCCCCGGUGCCGCGGGGACCCCGCCUUCCCCGGAGCCUGGACAGCGUCCUCCUCAGAGGGUCCGCCAUCCCCUCUGCCUUAGCCGCGAGGCUCACCCCCGCCAGGGGGAGAGGUCGGAGCCCCGCUGGGGAGAAAACCGCGCUCGCGGAGGCGGAGGCGGAGGCGGCGGCGGCUCCCCAUGACCGGCGCUGGCCCUCGCCGGCUCCUCACAUACUUGGCAUAACUCUGCCGCGGGAAGGCGUGGGGGAGGGCGGUGGCGCCGCAACGCGCAUGCCCCGGAGCCCCGGGCCGCGACGGGGCGCGCGGGCCGGGGGCGGCAGAGGUGGGUUCUCGGGGUGGGCGAGUGGUGCAGGUGGAGGCGGAGGGCGCGGGCCGGUAGGUUGAGUAGUAGGUCGGCUGAAGCUGACCGACGGAAGCAGGGGUGGGCGCACAGAGCGCGAAGGGUGCGGGGAGAGUUGAGGCAGGGGAAAGAAGAACGAGCAGGAACGUGAGUUUGGGCUGGUGGCUGCAAAGUUUUGGUUAGGGAGCCCGAGAAAGGGAAAGUGCCCUCCUGGCUGUCACCCCAGCACCUUCACCGCCACCGCUGCACGAGGUGUGUCUUAGGCACAGCAAGUCCUAGCUUGAGAGAAAACAAAGAUUGUUUUGACGGACAAAGUACGAGUGCAGGUGUAUCUCGGUGCAUGUGUUCUAGAAAUGUAUCAAUCAUUUUAAUCGCCCAGAGAGCUAGCUAGCUAAAAGAAAUUUGCAGCGAUUCCUUUUCUAUAAGAGUUCUUUUAUCAAAAACAAAACAAAACCCACCCACCGAUGUCUCUUUUAAGUCUGUUUUUCCUUCUUUAUUUCAGUUAAUGCAUGCUAACAAAAUUAUUACAUCAGCCAAAACUUGUAAAAUGGAGCCACAAAUAUUAUGUCCCUCAUCACCCUACCUACAAGAUUAUCAUACAGGUUUGCAGCUUUCUAAUAUAAAAAAGUUAACACUUCAUUUUAAUUUAAAUAGUGAGUUGAGAAGCAAUUGAAUUGAAGUUGAGACACAGUGUAAUCUAGAAAUACCGGCUGUCUCCCAAAAACGUUAAAUUCCAGGUUCUGGGCAGCAGUUGCAAACUCAAGUACCCCUCGUUGCCAGAGAUUAAUUGAUUCAGUGACUGAUAAGAAUCAGUCGUGCUAUCAUCCCUGAUUUGAGUUACUUUUUUUAGUGUUUACAUAGUAGAAAGGGCCUUUUUCUGAGUUACUCAUAAAUAUGCUGACACCUAGCACAGUGCGUGCACUUAGUAGAUACUCAAAUACUUAAGAAAAUAUUUGUUGAAUAAAUAAAUGUUUGCAUUACUGAAUAAAAUGAAAUAAUUUUGCCCUAAUUUACCUUAUUUGCAACUGCAGUAUAUUUUCCUAUGUCAGUUGUUUUCUUGUUGUCCAGUGGCUCCAAUCUCUGAAUGUGCUUUGACUAUACUACCUUUAUUAGUACCUAGUCUCUGCUUUCUGGAAUAAUUGUUACCUGCAUCUGAGAUUUGCAGAUAAGAGAGAAUAUUUGCAGAAAUCUUACCCACUCUCUAAAACUCUGCUCUAGGCCAGGCGGGGUGGCUCAUGCCUGUAAUCUUAGCACUUUGAGAGGCUGAGAUGGGCAGAUUGCUUGAGCCCAGGAGUUCAAGACCAGCCUGGACAACAUGGCACAACCUGGUCUCUACGAGGAACAAAAACAAACAAAAAAAAAAACACAAAAAAAAUUGGCUAGAUGUGGUGGUGUGCACCUGUAGUCCUAGCUACUCUAGAGGCCGCGGUGGGAGGAUCACUUGAGCCUGUGAGGCUGAAGCUGCAAUGAACCGAGAUCAUGACACUUCAUUCCAACCUGGAUGACUGAGGGAGAUUCUGUCUCAAAAUAAUAAGAAUAAAAUAAUAAAACUCAGCUCAACUGCCUUCUUGUUUAUGAAGUCAUCUCUGAUCUCCCAGACGGGAACUCAAGUUCUAAACUUCAAUAUUACUUUAUUCCCACCCAUAGUAUAGUUACUGUUUUUUGUUUUAUACAGUUUGUAUACAUGUCCUUUCUCCUUUACAAGAAAAUUCAUAAACUCCCUAAGGGCAGAAACUGUUUAUAAUUGACCUUUAUAUUCUCCACAGGAGUAUAACUUUAGCAUCUUAUAUAUUGUGC